rnacentral:lncRNA from 1 species
GCAGUUCUUGUCAUUCUAACAUUUUCCUAUGACAUAUGUGGGCCACAUAUAUUCAUUCCAUCGUAGAGAUAAAUAGCCUAUAGCACCGAAUAGGCCUACUUUUUCUUCCGUCUUAUUUGUCUGUUUUUGCUGUUACACUUCAAGAUAUAUAUUUUAACGACUGUUAUCAGUUUUUCAUGCAAAGAGGACGACGAAAGAAAAUAGCAGAAGUUGUCAGAGAUGCGCGCACCCCUUGUCACGCGCAUCUUGGCUAGCAAGUUGUGUAGUACUUUGCUCGAGGACAUUCCGGCAACCAUCUGUUUCCGGAAGAUCUCUGAGCGCAGAGUUGGAAGCGGAGUUCGCAAAUUUGCGGGGAAAGGUGGUUGUCUGCCAAUACGCCUGUUACUGUGAAAAUGCUCCGUUUGAUUUAUUUUCUUUUUCCACUCAACUUUUCUAAAGACCCAACAGGAGAAGAGAUCAAAAACGUGCACAUUAGAGAGAGCGAGAGAGAGACAGAGAGAGACAGAGAGACAGAGAGAGCGAAAGAAACAGAGAGAGAGAGAUGGAUAGAGGAAGAUUGAGCAAGAUGGAAGGAAGAGAGACCAGGGAACGUACAGGUCGUGACCUCUCUCAGAAAGAAGCCCAACCCCUGUCAGCCAUCUCUCUGUGAGACCAACAUGGAGACGACUGAGUCUGUCUGUCUGUCUGUCUAUUUGUACUGUUGUUUACACUUGAUCAUGUCUGACCAUAUGACAUGUCUAUAAAGGUGAUUCUAGGUAUGAAAGCAAAACCAGAAAGGCAAGAUCUUCAUACUUGUUAUUAAUAUACAUUUGUUGAGAUUGAAUAUAAAUACUGAGAGUA